rnacentral:rRNA from 1 species
CUGGCGGCGUGCUUAACACAUGCAAGUCGAACGGACCUCAUUAUUUGAAGCCUUCGGGCAGAUUAUCUUGAGGUUAGUGGCGGACGGGUGAGUAACGCGUGGGUAACCUGGCCUUUACACGGGGACAACAGCUGGAAACGGCUGCUAAUACCGGAUGAGCUGGCGGGAUCGCAUGAUUCUGUCAGGAAAGAUGGCCUCUAUUUAUAAGCUAUCGGUGAAGGAUGGACCCGCGUCUGAUUAGGUAGUUGGUGAGGUAACGGCUCACCAAGCCUGCGAUCAGUAGCCGGCCUGAGAGGGUGGCCGGCCACAUUGGGACUGAGAUACGGCCCAAACUCCUACGGGAGGCAGCGGUGGGGAAUCUUCCGCAAUGGGCGCAAGCCUGACGGAGCAACGCCGCGUGAGUGAAGAAAGGCCUUCGGGUCGUAAAGCUCUGUCUUCAGGGAAGAACAACCAGGGUGUGAAUAAUGCUCUGGCCUGACGGUACCUGAGGAGGAAGCUCCGGCUAACUACGUGCCAGCCGCCGC